GCCAGCAUAGCUCAGUUGGUAGAGCAGCUGAUUUGUAAUCAGCUGGUCGGGGGUUCGAGUCCCUCUGCUGGCU
rnacentral:tRNA from 2 species